AUGGCGCCUCUCUCCACCGCCGUCCGCCUCCUGUGCUCCCCCGCGGCUCCGCACGUCGUCCCUUCCCCGCCCGCCGGCCACGCCGGGGCGCCAGCGCGCUUUUGGUGCCGCCGCCGGCUUCGGUCGGUGCGCGCGGAGGCGGCCAAGGAGGCGGAGGUGGGGGAGCUCAGGGCCGGGGUGUCCGUCUACAAGCCUCGCUCCUACGAGGUUCUCUUCUCCGACGCCGCCCACUCCCUCACCGCCGCCAUCGACGACGGCAGGACCCGCCUCGAGAUUGAGUUCCCGUAA
rnacentral:rRNA from 1 species